rnacentral:rRNA from 1 species
AAUCAACGCUGGCGGCGUGCCUAACACAUGCAAGUCGAACGCGAAAGUCCCGCAAGGGGCAAGUAGAGUGGCAAACGGGUGAGUAACACGUGGGUGACCUGCCUUCGAGUGGGGGAUAACGUCCCGAAAGGGACGCUAAUACCGCAUAACAUCCUGCCUUUUAAGAGGUGGACAUCAAAGCCGGGGAUCGCAAGACCUGGCGCUUGAAGAGGGGCCCGCGCCUGAUUAGCUAGUUGGUGGGGAAUGGCUCACCAAGGCAACGAUCAGUAUCCGGCCUGAGAGGGCGGACGGACACACUGGGACUGAGACACGGCCCGGACUCCUACGGGAGGCAGCAGUGGGGAAUUGUUCGCAAUGGGCGCAAGCCUGACGACGCAACGCCGCGUGGAGGAUGAAGACCU